rnacentral:lncRNA from 10 species
UGUGGGUGGGACCACAUAAGGGAAUAAAAGCAGGCUGCCAGAGCUAGCAGUGGCAACCUGCUCAGUUUCUCUCUGCAGUGUGGAAGGUUUGUUCUUUUGCUGUUUGCGGUAAAUCUUGCUGCUGCUCACUGUUUUGGUUUGCAUUCCCUUUAUGAGCUGUGACACUCACCGCAAAGGUCUGCAGUUUCACUCCUGAGGCCAGUGCGACCACGAACCCACAGGGAGGAAUGAACAACUCCCGACAGGAGGAAUGAACAAUUCCAGACGCGCGCCGCCUUAAGAGCUGUAACACUCACCACGAAAGUCUGCAGCUUCACUCCUGAAGCUAGCAAGACCACGAACCCACUAGAAGGAAAAAACUCUGAACGCGUCUGAACAUCAGAAGGAGAAAACUUCGGACACACCGUCUUUAAGAACUGGAACACUUAUACCAUGAGGGUCUGCGGCUUCAUUCUUGAGCCAUUCAACAUAGUGCAUCAGAAGUGAUCUUUCAACACAUCCAGUACAUGAAUAAAUGAAAAACGCAAGUUACAAAACAUUACAGAGGUAAAAUCAUAAAUAUAGUCCCUGAAUUUCAUGGCCACCUGACCUUCACAUGAAGCUCAUAUUAAAGCCAUCUAUAGAGCAUGUUUUCCUGAAAACUUGACAAGAAGACGAUGAUGUAUAUGAAAAGAAGAAACAUCAAGAAAGGCAUAUUCUUGAACAUUCAUGGUGGUUGUCUCUGGGGGAACCAACACCAAGGUCUCCAUUUGGAACCAGAACCUAAACUACGGUGUAGGAGACAUGGGGGAAGGAUCAUCUAGGUUGUUGACUUGGGGAAGAUAAGCUACUCACAGGUCCCUAACUCAUCAUUGUUUCCUAGUAACAACAAUUGCUUGAAAAUCAGAGUCUCGCUUUGCUGCCCAGGCUGUAGUGCAGUGGUGUGAUCUCAGCUCACUGCAAGCUCUGCCUCCCAGGUUCACACCAUUCUCCUGCCUCAGCUUCCUGAGGAGCUGGGACUACAGGUGCACGCCACCACACCCAGCUAAUUUCUUGAAUUUUUAGUAGAGACGGGGUUUCACCGUGUUAUCCAGGAUGGUCUUGAUCUCCUGACCUCCUGAUCCUCCCACCUUGGCCUCCCAAAGUGCUGGGAUUACAGGCUUGAGCCACUGCGCCCGGCUCAUUCAUCUUCCUUAUUUCCCUCAACCUGCUGUCUCUCUUUUUCUGUCAUUCCCUUCUGCUUUUUCCCAGUCCAGGUUUGAAUACCCGCCUCCAAGUGAUAGGAAAGAACAGCCAAGUUUGAAUGCACACUGAUGUUUCAGGACCAUGGACAGUAGCAUCGGUUGCCCAGGAAAGUACAAAUGGUAUAUCAUUAUUUUAAAAGUUAUUUUAUUUUAAAAGUCAUUUAUAAAUUUGUCUAUUUUCUUUGAGCCUCUUUCUUUACACAUGACCUGCUCUCCCAAACCAACCCUCUCUGGUUUCAAAUACCCCAUUACUAAUUGAUCAAUUGUUCAAAGACAUUCGGCGAGGGCAUGCUGGCUCACGCCUGUAAUUCCAGGACAUUGGGAGGCCGAGGUGGGCAGAUCACGUGGGCAGGAGAUCGAGACCAUCCUCGCCAACAUGGUGAAACCCUGUCUCUACUGAAAAUACAGAAGUUAUCUGGGCGUGGUGGCGUG